rnacentral:rRNA from 1 species
CACUUGGAGGAUGUAUAGCGAAAGCUAGUUGCAUUAAAUUCGAUUAAUUCGAAGUUAUUGCAGCAUCGACUAUGUCGAAUAAAGUUCUAGGUAGAGUUAUGAUAAUGACAUUUUCUAUCUAUGUGUCUUGACCAAAUCACGUGCCAGCAGUCGCGGUAAUACGUGGAAGACUAGUGUUAUUCAUCUUUAAUAGGUUUAAAGGGUACUUAGACGGUAUUUUUAGCCCAAAUAAAAACAAAGGGUACUAAUUAUACUAGAGUUUUAUGAGUGGGGGGUGCGUACGAAUGGUGUAGAGAUGAAAUUCUGUCAUACCAUUAUGACAGGCGACGGCGAAAGCAACCUUUAGUUAAAAACUGACGUUAAAGGACGAAGGCUUUGUAUCACCAACAGGAUUAGAUACCCAAGCAGUCUAAGCAGACAAUUAUGAAUGCCAUAGAUAAGAAAUCCAUGGAUAAAGAAGAAAACAUGUACUUUUCAGAAUGCCCUUUUUGGGCAUUGGUUUAUUAAAAAAAAAUAAACUUCUCCUCUUCACUUCUUCAUUUAUUGAAGAAAGAGAGAAGUCGAGAUGAAAAGAAUGGCUCGUAAUCUUAUCUAUCAUCAUCAUCUUUCAGAUGAUGAUGAAUACAUUUCUUUUAGACAGCGACUAUGUCGAAGUUAACAAAAAAAGAAAUAAAGGAUGUAUUUUUGUCUAUAAAUGAAAGUGUAAGCAUUCCACCUCAAGAGUAAAGUGGCAACGCACAAACUGAAAUCAUUAGACCGUUUCUGAAACCAGUAGUGAAGUAUGUUGUUUAAUUUUGAUGGUCCGCAAAAAACCUUACCACAAUUUGUAUAUUAUUAGCUUAAUACAAGAGUUGCACGGCUGUCUUCAGUUAAUGUCGUGAGAUUUUGGUUAGUUCCAUAAAAUUAACGUAAACCCUUACUUUAUUUAUAUUAUAAAGUAGUUCACCACUAUAUUGGAUAUGAUAAGAGGGACUAAGACAAGUCAUCAUGGCCUGA